UUUUUUUUUUUUUUUUUUUUUUUUUUGAGACAGAGUCUUGCUCUGUCACCCAGGCUGGAGUACAGUGGCGGGUUCUCGGCUCACUGCAAGCUCCACCUCCCGGGUUCACGCCAUUCUCCUGCCAUUCUCCUGCCUCAGCCUCCCGAGUAGCUGGGACUACAGGUGCCCACCACCACGCCCGGCUAAUUUUUUGUAUUUUUAGUAGAGACAGGGUUUCACCAUGUUAGCCAGGAUGGUCUCGAUCUCCUGACCUCGUGAUCCACCUGCCUCGGCCUCCCAAAGUGCUGGGAUUACAGGCGUGAGCCACCGCACCCGGUCGACUGACUGCAAUUUUUAUCUUUGUUUUCUUCAGGCUUUUUCAUUGUCCACUAGGGCCUUCUAGAAAGAUAGCUGCGAUACUGCAGGCUAAGCAAUGGGGAGAUGAGGAGGAAGAGGAGGAGGAGAGGAGAAAUGGAAAUAGAGGGGAGUGAUGAAGGAAAAUUUAGAAGGAACAAAAAAGUAUUUGUUCACAGGCUCUGGCUGCCCCAAGGGCUGUGCAGUUCAAGAAGAGUGAACAGCUGAAAACACAUCUGCAGCCCAUCAGUCAGUGCAGUAGCUGGAAGACUCCACUCUGGAGGAUGAGGACCUAAAGCUCCUUUGGAGGGGCCCUUGCAUCCCCACACUUCCAUGGCAGGGGAAGUAGUAAGAACAUAAUUAUUUUAUACUUCAUCCUGAAGAUGAAUCUACAUAAGUCCAAGCCAGGCUAGAAAAUCUUUAAGCACAGACACCCAGUGCAGGCUGGAUAAUUAAUUAACACAGGAGCAUAAGAGCAAAAGCCCAGUCCUGCUGGGCUCCCACAUCAAUUUGCCUUAGUGGAUGUGAACGGUUUAAUCUCCAUGGAAAACACGAGGUCUCAAGUGAAAAGGCUUCCCCUCCCAACACCAUGGAAGACAUUUGCCCUCACCAAAGCCUUUGGAGCAGCUAUUCCCACAGCUCUCACCCAGCUGGGACUCCCACAGCAAGCUCACCUGAAUCUUUUAAGGUGCAGCCGGAGAACCUGAGGUAGUCUGUAGAUCAUUAACUGCUUUCUAGCUUCACUCAGAACAAGGGGUUUGGGAUUGGAUUUUCGUCGUUUGCCUAUGUGGUUUGGGAAGGUAUAAGACAUAGGUUGUGAGGAGUUUUUUCUAGCUAUGGCAGAGACAGUGACUUGCCAUUCAAUAUGCAUUCUCCAUAUUUCUCAGUACCUGAACCUCAAUUUUUUGGGAGGGCGCAAUGUGACACUCUUUAUGACUGUAUUUCCCAGCUUCACACGCCUGCAUGGUGUGGCCAUGGAAGUUCUGGCUAAGAUGAAAUGAAUGACUGUGUGAGACUCUGCUUAGACAGGGCUGACUCAGUUGUAAGGUGCAUCCCUUUGGCCUUCUCACUAUCUGAAACCGCUGGAAUUCCUCCUGGACCAAAAGGUAACUUUGAAGACAGAAGUCUUGCAAUAGGAUAGUAAAACAGAAAGACAGAAAUAGCUUGGGUCACUGAUGACCAUGCAGCCACCAUGCUGGCCCUGAAUGUCCUUCAGACUUGUUUUAUGUAACAGAAAAAUAAAAUCUCUCAUUUUAAGUCAUUGUAAUUUGGGUUGACUGUUACAAGCAACUCAAAUCUUUCCAAUUUUUGCCAUCAGCAACUUUGCGUAUAAUGGAAUAUAAUGGUGCAGCAGCAAGCACAUAGAGUAGAAGCAUAUGUUAAGGCUCCAUGUCUUCACAAUGGCUUAUAACUUCAAUUAUGAUACCCCACAAUAUGAUUUUAAAAAGCUUUUUGUUUGCACUAGGUAAGCCUAAUUCUACUUCCUGCUCACAACUAGUUGUGUGCUAAUGGAUAAGUUAUUCAAAACUCUGAACCUCAGUUUCCUCACCGGUAAAAUAGGGAAUAAUGCAUAUAUUUCAGGCUUAGGAAAAAGAGGAUAAGAUUACUAAAUGAUAGAGUAUUUAAACACAUUUUUCUUUAGCAUGAUUUGCUUAUGGCAUAUUCAAACAUUUAGAAAAUAAACUGUUGGUUCUAUAUUUUUAUGCUUUGUGUAGUUUUUGAAACAUAUUUCCUAGAUAAAAGCACACUGCUGGACAUGCAAGGACAAAGCUGACAGGUAGGCUAAAUUCAUCUACUCCAAAGCAGAACCAGUGAUCAGUCUCUAAUUUUGUUUCUAACUGUGCGGGAAAUGCAUUUCUCGAAGUCCUGGCUUCAAGCAGUCCUCCCACCUUGGCCACCCAAAGUGCUGGGAUUAUGGGUGUGAGCCCACUGUGCCCAGCCUUGAGGAAAUGCAUUUCUAAAUUUCAGCAAAUAAAUAAUGGAAAUAGAGUUCUCUUAGUUUCUAUCAGAAGCCUUUCCUGUAACCAUUUACUGAUGACUGUUUUGUAAUAUUAAAUUGGUAAAUGGAUGAGAGUAGAAAAUUAGUGGUCUACCGCAGUCCCUGCUAAUUGUCUUGAGCUGUUGAUAUCAUGGGCUCAGUGUUUGAAGAGCAACUGGGCAUCUGAUUCCAAGUCCUGUCUGUACUACUCAUGAAAGGUAGCAAAUCACAGCCAGAUGAUGUAUCACAGAGCUUUCUCUGACAAUAGGAUGUGGAGGUGUUAACUUCUCAUAAUAGACUGCAUCAGAAUGAGUGUGCCAUAGGAGAAGCUUUUACCAGGGUGUAGUCAUCACAAUACGUGGGGGCAUGAACAGAAAUGGAAUUCACAGAGGGGCUUGGCCUUAUUUUAUAUUCCUAUUCACCAUUUUUUUGAAAAUUACUGCAGCUCUGGCUAGGAACCCUGGCAGUGACUGCCACCCUCAGCAGAGGGAGUAUGUGAGCUAAGAUGAAGACAAUACAGAGUCAGGCUUUGUUUCCGUAAAA